AGUGAACGCUGGCGGCAGGCCUAAUACAUGCAAGUCGAACGGCAGCACAGCAGAGCUUGCUCUGUGGGUGGCGAGUGGCGGACGGGUGAGGAAUACAUGGGAAUCUGCCCAGUCGUGGGGGAUAACGUAUGGAAACGUACGCUAAUACCGCAUGCGCCCUACGGGGGAAAGUCGGGGACCGCAAGGCCUGACGCGAUUGGAUGAGCCCAUGUUCGAUUAGCUAGUUGGCGGGGUAAAGGCCCACCAAGGCGACGAUCGAUAGCUGGUCUGAGAGGAUGAUCAGCCACACUGGAACUGAGACACGGUCCAGACUCCUACGGGAGGCAGCAGUCGAGAGGCUUCGGCAAUGGGGGAAACCCUGACCGAGCGACGCCGCGUGAGCGAUGAAGCCCUUCGGGUGUAAGCUCUUUGUGAGGGAAGAACUGCAACGGCCUAAUACGCUGUUGUUUGUACGGUACCUUACGAAUAAGCUCCGGCUAACUCCGUGCCACG
rnacentral:rRNA from 1 species